rnacentral:rRNA from 1 species
AUCAUAUGCUUGUCUCAAAGAUAAGCCAUGCAUGUCUCAGUACAAACUAAAUUAAGGUGAAACCGCGAAAGGCUCAUUAAAUCAGUUAUGGUUCCUUAGAUCGUACACACAUUUACUUGGAUAACUGUGGUAAUUCUAGAGCUAAUACAUGCAAACAGAUCUCUGACCGGAGACGGGAGGAGUGCUUUUAUUAGAUCAAAACCAAUCGGCGGCAGUAGCGCUACGGCGUACUCUGUUCGUCGCACUUUUUGAUGACUCUGAAUAACUUUUGGCUGAUCGCACGGUCUUGCACCGGCGACGCAUCUUUCAAAUGUCUGCCUUAUCAACUGUCGAUGGUAGGUUCUGCGCCUACCAUGGUUGUAACGGGUAACGGGGAAUCAGGGUUCGAUUCCGGAGAGGGAGCCUGAGAAACGGCUACCACAUCCAAGGAAGGCAGCAGGCGCGCAAAUUACCCACUCCCGGCACGGGGAGGUAGUGACGAAAAAUAACGAUACGGGACUCAUCCGAGGCCCCGUAAUCGGAAUGAGGACACUUUAAAUCCUUUCAAAAUGACCAAUUGGAGGGCAAGUCUAGUGCCAGCAGCCGCGGUAACUCUAGCUCCAAUAGCGUAUAUUAAAGUUGUUGCGGUUAAAAAGCUCGUAGUUGAAUCUGUGUUUCGCGCUGUCGGUUCACCGCCCGCGGUGUUUAACUGGCACGUCUCGCGAAACGUCCUGCCGGUGGAUGCGUUGAUCUUUGAUCAUUGGCCCACUGUGUGCGCGUGUGUAUGUUGCUUGCGUGUGCAGCCUCACCAGGUUGUUACUGUAUGCACUGCGCGCGUACAUUAGUGUGUUGUCAGUGUUCAAAUGACUCACCGUCCGACUAAAUAAUCCUGUCGCGGUGCUCUUAAUUGAGUGUCGAGGCAGGCCGGCACGUUUACUUUGAACAAAUUAGAGUGCUCAAAGCAGGCUAAAAUUUCGCCUGAAUAUUGUGUGCAUGGAAUAAUAGAACAGGACCUCGGUUCUAUUUUGUUGGUUUUCGGAACAACGAGGUAAUGAUUAAUAGGGACAGAUGGGGGCAUUCGUAUUGCGACGUUAGAGGUGAAAUUCUUGGAUCGUCGCAAGACGGACAGAAGCGAAAGCAUUUGCCAAAAAUGUUUUCAUUAAUCAAGAACGAAAGUCAGAGGAUCGAAGGCGAUCAGAUACCGCCCUAGUUCUGACCAUAAACGAUGCCAGCUAGCGAUCCGCCGACGUUCCUCCGAUGACUCGGCGGGCAGCUUCCGGGAAACCAAAGUUUUUGGGUUCCGGGGGAAGUAUGGUUGCAAAGCUGAAACUUAAAGGAAUUGACGGAAGGGCACCACCAGAAGUGGAGCCUGCGGCUUAAUUUGACUCAACACGGGAAAUCUUACCAGGCCCGGACACCGGAAGGAUUGACAGAUUGAGAGCUCUUUCUUGAUUCGGUGGGUGGUGGUGCAUGGCCGCUUUUAGUUCGUGGAAUGAUUUGUCUGAUUAAUUUCGAUAACGGACGAGAUUCUAGCCUACUAACUAGGCGUUACUUACCGGUAUCCUGAAGGCUCGUGCCUCCCGUGCUCCCGGUCGUGCAUAUGUUGUAGGGUCAGUGUAGCUCCGGCUGUACUGUCGUACGCUGUGCGCGUUCGGGGCCGGGUGUGUUACGGUUUUUACUACCGGCGUACAUAUAUAUCUUCUUAGAGGGACAAAUGACGAUAAGUCAUAUGAGAUUGAGCAACAACAGGUCUGUAAUGCCCUUAGAUGUUCUGGGCCGCACGCGCGCUACACUGAAGGAAUCAGCGUGUCUUCCCUGUCCGAACGGACCGGGUAACCCGCUGAAACUCCUUCGUGCUAGGGAUUGGGGCUUGCAAUUUUUCCCCAUGAACGAGGAAUUUCCAGUAAGCGCGAGUCAUAAGCUUGCGUUGAUUAAGUCCCUGCCCUUUGUACACACCGCCCGUCGCUAUUACCGAUUGAAAAAUUUAGUGAGGUCUUCGGACUGGUACGCGGCGGCGUUUCGACACCGCCGAUGUCGCUGGGAAGAUGACCAAACUUGAUCUUUUAGAGGAAU